ACCGAGUGUGAAAGCGGCACAGCGCACAUGCUAAAAAGAUCUUCAAAUGACUGAUCGCACAGAUGGGUGGUGUCUGUCGUCAGCGCUGGCUCGCUCAACCGUCAAGGCGCGCUGGCAGGACUGCCACUGUCAACCAGUGUCUCCUGGCUCCGGUGUGAAGCGAAUCCUCGAUUCCUCCUCUGUGCAUUUCAUUCAGGAAUACAUCAUUCUUCCAGUAGAUACUGGCAGUGUUGGUUGCUGGCACACUGGAAGCAGGCUGGCAGAGAGCUUCUGUAGAUCGAUUGGCGAUGAAUUGCAAAUUCUGCCCCUUCUCUCGGCGUCGGCUGUGCCGCACGUCUGUGGCGGUAGAGAGCAGACGACAGCAGCGACUGGCCUCGAAAGACAUGGCGGACGCUGAGGCCUCGGAGAAGAUUUCUCUACACGCGAUAGACGAUGUGGAGGAAACGACUGCUGAAAACGACCUGUCGUGGAGGGAAAAACUAGCAGAACAACUCAAAAGCAACAGAGUUCAGUACACGAUAAUCGUUCUUGUUAUUCUGGACAGUGUCAUCGUCGUGUUAGAGCUACUCAUCGACAUGGGGAUCAUCGUCAUUCCUGAGGAUCAUCCGCAUGAGUUAUCAACUAACGGAAGUGCUGAAAUCGCUCCAAACCAUCAUCCACUUCACUCCUCACACACAGGCAUUCCAGAAGGUCUGCAUGUCAAUGUCUCCCACAAAAAUCUCAGCGAAUCCAGCGGAAAUGCGCACGGAACGAGCGAGGACGAGAAACAUGCGCCUAACAAGCACGUGGCAGAGCACGUGCUUCACGUUGCCAGCCUUACCAUUCUUGCCAUCUUCCUUGUCGAGGAUCUCGUCCCGUUUCUGUCAAAGAAGCGAACGAGCACUGGUAUUGCCUUGUGUCCAGCCCUGCCUGUCCGGUGUGCCACCUCAGUGUCAUGUGGAGAAGUCUGGACGCCGACGAGGCGAGGUUGUGGCAAAAAUUUUAGCAGAAGGGACACACUUGCUGAAACACAAAGCAGAGGUAUUCGAUGCUGUGGUUGUGGUGGUCUCCUUUACGAUGGACAUCACGUUCACCUUUGUCUCCGUCACCGAUGCCACGCGUGACUACGCAGGUCUUCUUGUCCUACUUCGUCUGUGGCGCGUCACCCGCAUUAUUAAUGGCGUCAUCUUGUCCGUCAAAAUGGACGCCGACAAAAAGUUGAACGCACAAAAGGUUCUGCGCGCCAAAGCAGAAGAGGAAGUGCAGAAACUGACAGAAAAAGUGGAGCAGCUACAG
rnacentral:misc_RNA from 1 species